rfam:Candidatus Yanofskybacteria bacterium RIFCSPHIGHO2_01_FTLL_44_22 rifcsphigho2_01_scaffold_57214, whole genome shotgun sequence.
CGGGUAAACAAUAAGGGCGUACGGAGGAUGCCUUGACACUAAAAGGCGAUGAAGGUCGUGGCGUGACUGCGAUAAGCCUCGGGGAGCCGUCUAGCGGGCUUUGAUCCGGGGAUGACCGAAUGGGGAAACCCCACGCGGUAAACCCGCGUGAGCGUGCUUCGCACGCAGUUCAUAAAGUUGAAAGUUCAUAAUGUUCAUAAAGUAAACUGAAUAAGAUUUUUAUUCCAGAAACUUUAUAACUUUAUAACUUUAAAAACUUUUGACUUGCGCGCGGAGCGCGUAGCGUACCUGGGGAAGUGAAACAUCUCAGUACCCAGAGGAAAAUAAAUCAACGAGAUUCCGUCAGUAGCGGCGAGCGAAAGCGGAAUAGCCUAAAUCUGUACACCAAUCAAACGGUAGCAACUGUCAUUUUCGCGUUAAACAUAUUUGAUAUUGCUUAGCGUCCGAUAGUCGGCAAUUGUGGCAAUUCACGAACCGACUGUCGCAGUGAAAGUGCCGCUUGAUUGGUGUGCAGAGGUUAUAGGGAUAAUACACUUGAGAAUUUGAGCUUUCGAAUUCGAAGCUCAAAUUUUCUUAGAAAGUUAAAAAUCCGAGCGUUAGCAGAACGGCCCUGGAACGGCCGGCCAAAGAAGGUGACAGCCCUGUAAGCAAAAACAAUCGGACUUUCGUAUUGUUACCUGAGUAACCCGGGAUAAGAAUGUCCUGGGAGAAAUUGCCCAUACUACUGGGUAAGGCUAAAUACUUUUAGUGAUCGAUAGUGAACAAGUACCGUGAGGGAAAGGUGAAAAGAACCCCGG